AGAGUUUGAUCCUGGCUCAGGAUGAACGCUGGCGGCGUGCUUAACACAUGCAAGUCGAGCGAAGCAGUUAAGAAGAUUCUUCGGAUGAAUCUUAACUGACUGAGCGGCGGACGGGUGAGUAACGCGUGGGUGACCUGCCCCAUACCGGGGGAUAACAGCUGGAAACGGCUGCUAAUACCGCAUAAGCGCACAGAGCCGCAUGGCUCGGUGUGAAAAACUCCGGUGGUAUGGGAUGGGCCCGCGUCUGAUUAGGCAGUUGGCGGGGUAACGGCCCACCAAACCGACGAUCAGUAGCCGGCCUGAGAGGGCGACCGGCCACAUUGGGACUGAGACACGGCCCAAACUCCUACGGGAGGCAGCAGUGGGGAAUAUUGCACAAUGGGGGAAACCCUGAUGCAGCGACGCCGCGUGAGCGAAGAAGUAUUUCGGUAUGUAAAGCUCUAUCAGCAGGGAAGAUAAUGACGGUACCUGACUAAGAAGCCCCGGCUAACUACGUGCCAGCAGCCGCGGUAAUACGUAGGGGGCAAGCGUUAUCCGGAUUUACUGGGUGUAAAGGGAGCGUAGACGGCAAGGCAAGUCUGAUGUGAAAACCCAGGGCUUAACCCUGGGACUGCAUUGGAAACUGUCUGGCUCGAGUGCCGGAGAGGUAAGCGGAAUUCCUAGUGUAGCGGUGAAAUGCGUAGAUAUUAGGAAGAACACCAGUGGCGAAGGCGGCUUACUGGACGGUAACUGACGUUGAGGCUCGAAAGCGUGGGGAGCAAACAGUAAGAGAUACCCUGGUGGUCCACGCCGUUAACGGUUGAAUGUUAGGUGUUGGGGAGCCUAAGCUUUUCGGUGCCGCAGCAAACGCAUUAAGCAUUCCACGUGGGGAGUACGUUCGCAAGAAUGAAACUCAAAGGGAAUUGUUGGGGACCCGCACAAGCGGUGGAGCAUGUGGCUUAAUUCGAAGCAACGCGAAGAACCUUACCAGGGCUUGACAUAUGAGGUGAAGCGGGGGAGACCCCGUGGCCGAGAGGAGCCCAUACAGGUGGUGCAUGGCUGUCGUCAGCUCGUGUCGUGAGAUGUUGGGUUAAGUCCCGCAACGAGCGCAACCCCCGCCGCGUGUUGCCAUCGGGUGAUGCCGGGAACCCACGCGGGACCGCCGCCGUCAAGGCGGAGGAGGGCGGGGACGACGUCAAGUCAUCAUGCCCCUUAUGCCCUGGGCUGCACACGUGCUACAAUGGCCGGUACAGAGGGAUGCCACCCCGCGAGGGGGAGCGGAUCCCGGAAAGCCGGCCCCAGUUCGGAUUGGGGGCUGCAACCCGCCCCCAUGAAGUCGGAGUUGCUAGUAAUCGCGGAUCAGCAUGCCGCGGUGAAUGCGUUCCCGGGCCUUGUACUCACCGCCCGUCA
rnacentral:rRNA from 1 species